rnacentral:tRNA from 1 species
GGGCGGUUAGCUCAGUGGUAGAGCAUCGUCUUGACGUGACGAGGGUCAUAGGUUCAAAUCCUAUACCGCCCACCC